rnacentral:rRNA from 1 species
UGGGGAAUAUUGCACAAUGGGCGCAAGCCUGAUGCAGCCAUGCCGCGUGUGUGAAGAAGGCCUUCGGGUUGUAAAGCACUUUCAGCGGGGAGGAAGGCGGUGAGGUUAAUAACCUCAUCGAUUGACGUUACCCGCAGAAGAAGCACCGGCUAACUCCGUGCCAGCAGCCGCGGUAAUACGGAGGGUGCAAGCGUUAAUCGGAAUUACUGGGCGUAAAGCGCACUCAGGCGGUCUGUCAAGUCGGAUGUGAAAUCCCCGGGCUCAACCUGGGAACUGCAUUCGAAACUGGCAGGCUAGAGUCUUGUAGAGGGGGGUAGAAUUCCAGGUGUAGCGGUGAAAUGCGUAGAGAUCUGGAGGAAUACCGGUGGCGAAGGCGGCCCCCUGGACAAAGACUGACGCUCAGGUGCGAAAGCGUGGGGAGCAAACAGG